rnacentral:lncRNA from 1 species
GUGUGAUGCUUUUCCUGUCUUCCAGCAGGCUAUGGACCCCAAAGGGAGCUGUGCUUUCCAGGAGGCUCCUGGGGUUGGUGCCUACACCACUCAGAGCCAGGACUUUGCUUCAAAUCUCCCUUUUGGAUAAAAAGAGGGCUGCUCCAAGGCCAUGGAUCGAGGACUGAGCAAGUCCAGUUCACAGUUUUGAAUGCUCCUGCUCAGGAUAUGCUCAAGGAACACACCAGUUGCAGAAAACACUCCAGAAUAGCACCAAAAAGAGGAUUGGGCAAUUUCAAGUUUUUGAUGAACCAUCAUUCCAGCUUCCAAAUCUCCUGUGAGGACAGGGAUCUCUGAGCUGCCACCUCCUGAUCCAGUUCACCCUCUGCCUGCUGGAUGCACACUGCUGAACUGGAGGCUGCCUUAGCCCUGCUGGAGGUGAAGCAAAGCCUGAUCUGUGGAAGCCCGGGAAUGGCAGUGCAGCACCUGCUCAGGUGGCACCUGUGUGACACUGCCAGGACUCCUCCCAGCUGCCAGCGAGGGACAGGAGGGGCAGUUUGCAUAGCCUGA